UAGCUCAGUCUGUAGAGCGUUGGACUUUUAAUCCAACGAUCUGAGGUUCAAUGUACUCUUA
rnacentral:tRNA from 1 species